AUUGAACGCUGGCGGCAUGCUUUACACAUGCAAGUCGAACGGUAACAGGCCGCAAGGUGCUGACGAGUGGCGAACGGGUGAGUAAUGCAUCGGAACGUGCCCAGUCGUGGGGGAUAACGCAGCGAAAGCAGCGCUAAUACCGCAUACGAUCUAUGGAUGAAAGCGGGGGACCGUAAGGCCUGGCGCGAUUGGAGCGGCCGAUGUCAGAUUAGGUAGUUGGUGGGGUAAAGGCUCACCAAGCCAACGAGCUGUAGCUGGUCUGAGAGGACGACCAGCCACACUGGGACUGAGACACGGCCCAGACUCCUACGGGAGGCAGCAGUGGGGAAUUUUGGACAAUGGGCGCAAGCCUGAUCCAGCAAUGCCGCGCGCAGGAAGAAGGCCUUCGGGUUGUAAACUGCUUUUGUACGGAACGAAACGGCUCUGGUUAAUACCUGGGGGUAAUGACGGUACCUGAAGAAUAAGCACCGGCUAACUACGUGCCAGCAGCCGCCGUAAAAC
rnacentral:rRNA from 1 species